rnacentral:rRNA from 1 species
UCGAGGAUCUUUCGCAAUGGGCGCAAGCCUGACGAAGCGACACUGUGUGGAUGAUGAAGGCCUUCGGGUUGUAAAAUCCUUUCGCCUAGGAACAAGAAAAGCUAAUGAACAAUUAGUUAAUUUGAGCGUACUAGGUAAAGAAGCACCGGCUAACUCCGUGCCAGCAGCUGCGGUAAUACGGAGAGUGCUAGCAUUAAUCGGAAUUAUUGGGCGUAAAGGGCGCGUAGGCGGCAUUGCAAGUCUUGUGUGAAAUUCCGGAGCUCAACUCCGGAGCCGCACCAGAAACUGCAGCGCUAGAGGUUUGGCGGAGAAAAUGGAAUUCCACGUGUAGCGGUGAAAUGCGUAGAUAUGUGGAAGAACACCGGUGGCGAAGGCGAUUUUCUAGCUUAUACCUGACGCU